rnacentral:rRNA from 1 species
GUGGGGAAUAUUGGACAAUGGGCGCAAGCCUGAUCCAGCGACGCCGCGUGGAGGACGAAGGCCUUCGGGUUGUAAACUCCUUUUGGAGGGGAAGAAUAAAUUGACGGUACCAUCAGAAAAAGCCACGGCUAACUACGUGCCAGCAGCCGCGGUAAUACGUAGGUGGCGAGCGUUACUCGGAAUUACUAGGCGUAAAGCGUAUGUAGGUGGUUAGAUAAGUCUAUGGUGAAAUUUCCUGGCUUAACUGGGAAGGGACAUAGAUACUAUCUGGCUUGAGUGUGGGAGGGGGAGACGGAAUUCCUGGUGUAGCGGUGAAAUGCGUAGAUAUCAGGAGGAACACCGAUGGCGAAAGCAGUCUCCUGGCCCAAUACUGACACUGAGGUACGAAAGCUAGGGUAGCAAACAGGAUUAGAAACCCUGGUAGUCC